rnacentral:rRNA from 1 species
GACGAACGCUGGCGGCGUGCCUAAUGCAUGCAAGUCGAGCGCAGGAAAUCGACGGAACCCUUCGGGGGGAAGUCGAUGGAAUGAGCGGCGGACGGGUGAGUAACACGUAAAGAACCUGCCCUCAGGUCUGGGACAACCACGAGAAAUCGGGGCUAAUACCGGAUGGGUCAUCGGACCGCAUGGUCCGAGGAUGAAAGGCGCUUCGGCGUCGCCUGGGGAUGGCUUUGCGGUGCAUUAGCUAGUUGGUGGGGUAAUGGCCCACCAAGGCGACGAUGCAUAGCCGACCUGAGAGGGUGAUCGGCCACACUGGGACUGAGACACGGCCCAGACUCCUACGGGAGGCAGCAGUAGGGAAUCUUCCACAAUGGACGAAAGUCUGAUGGAGCAACGCCGCGUGAACGAUGAAGGCCUUCGGGUCGUAAGUUCUGUUGUAAGGGAAGAACAAGUGCCGCAGGCAAUGGCGGCACCUUGACGGUACCUUGCGAGAAAGCCACGGCUAACUACGUGCCAGCCGCCGCAGUAACAC